ensembl:lncRNA LAMA4-AS1 LAMA4 antisense RNA 1
UCCCCUUUGGAGAUCACUGGAAACAGCUUCUGGACCACAAAUGGGGUGAACUACUGUAUCGAGAAAGGAGAGAGUAAGACUUGAGAGCUAUCUUUUUAGCUCAGGGUGCAGGACCUUCCACCACUGCACCAUAGCUAUCCACUUGGCACACAUUAAGUACUCAACAGAUAUUUGUUGGAUGGAUGGAUACAUGAAGAAAGGAGGAAUAGAGGAAUGAACAAAUGGGUAAAUCACUUUCCAAUUAGUGGAGGGGUAUAUGUGGCAAGCCUCAAAUAAUUCAUGACUACAGAACAUAAUAUGUGAGACAGAAAGCGGGGAAGAGCCUGCCAAUGAGCCUGGGUUAGAUCUGCAGUACAGAUGAUGGGGAGCCAGCAAAGGAUUUCAAGGAUGGUCACAUUUCUGGUAUCUGUGUAGAAAUUAGAUUCAGCAUUGAUCUUCAACCUUGGCUGCAUGCUGGAAUUACCUGAAGAACUUUAACAAGACUGGACUAAGAACUCAGUUAAGUGAAGCAAGCAAGAAUUUCCCAAGUGAUGCCAACUCAAAAUGAAUUAUAUCAAGAAAGGAAAAGCAGCUUUUUCAUCUGGAAAGAACUGGAGACCUUGAACCUAGGCAGCAUGUGCCUUGAACCUAGGAUCAGUAAACAACAAGGAUGGAAAAGACAGUAAGAAUUUGGUCAGAUCACCAUAUCUUUCCGUUGUGCCUUUAGAACAAAAGGAAAGAAAA